CGGGGUGGAGCAGUCUGGUAGCUCGUCGGGCUCAUAACCCGAAGGUCGGAGGUUCGAAUCCUUCCCCCGCUACUA
rnacentral:tRNA from 1 species